GACGAACGCUGGCGGCGUGCUUAACACAUGCAAGUCGAACGGAAGGGCCCUGCUUUUGUGGGUGGCUCGAGUGGCGAACGGGUGGGUAACACGUGAGUAACCUGCCCUUGCCUUUGGGAUAACUUCAGGAAACUGGGGCUAAUACCGGAUAGGAGCUCCUGCUGCAUGGUGGGGGUUGGAAAGUUUCGGCGGUUGGGGAUGGACUCGCGGCUUGUCAGCUUGUUGGUGGGGUAGUGGCUUACCAAGGCUUUGACGGGUAGCCGGCCUGAGAGGGUGACCGGCCACAUUGGGACUGAGAUACGGCCCAGACUCCUACGGGAGGCAGCAGUGGGGAAUAUUGCACAAUGGGCGGAAGCCUGAUGCAGCAACGCCGCGUGCGGGAUGACGGCCUUCGGGUUGUAAACCGCUUUCGCCUGUGACGAAGCGUGAGUGACGGUAAUGGGUAAAGAAGCACCGGCUAACUACGUG
rnacentral:rRNA from 1 species